UAUAGGACAGAUAUCUGAGGUAGUUUCUUUACUCAGAGAGUAGUAGGGACGUGGAAAACCCUGCCUGAAACAAUAGUAUACUCACCAACAUCGAGGGCAGAAGGACCUGUCUUGCGCUGUAAUGUUGUGUGUUCGAUGUUCACCGUGAGGAUUUGAAUGGAAACCAAGUUUGCUAGUGUUGAAUAAAAAUGUGCAAUCAAAAGACACAGAGUCCUGACACUAUGUUAUUUCCCCUUUUAAACUUCUCAUGUGUUUGUUAAUUUGUCCAGAUAUGUGGCUCAGAGAAUUCAGUGAGUAAGAGUGGACAGGAGCCUGUCGUUGCAUUUCCCUCUCUGGCCUGCAGUGAAAGAUUACAUUCCUGCCUCAGAUGGAGUCAUUCCUUGCUCAUGAGGAAAGGAGUGUUAUCAUGUUGCUGCUCCUCCUUCUACUUCUGGUCCAUUCCUCACAUAGACUCCUCAUUCUGUUAUCAUGUUGCACCUAAUGUUGGCUCUCAGUUACUUGGAUUGAUUCACCAAUUGAAGUAUUUUUCUAACUGGAUAUGUCAUGGCAUACUUUAACUGGUCUCUGAAAUGUUUCUGCGUCACCACAUAAAUAAGGGCAUUUGUGCAGCAAUUUAAGUUCCUCAGCAUAUAUCCAAUCUGAACAAAGAGAUCAAAAG